UAGGGAAUCUUCGGCAAUGGGGGGAACCCUGACCGAGCAACGCCGCGUGAGUGAAGAAGGUUUUCGGAUCGUAAAGCUCUGUUGUUAAGGAAGAACGAGUGUGAGAAUGGAAAGUUCAUACUGUGACGGUACUUAACCAGAAAGGGACGGCUAACUACGUGCCAGCAGCCGCGGUAAUACGUAGGUCCCGAGCGUUGUCCGGAUUUAUUGGGCGUAAAGCGAGCGCAGGCGGUUAGAUAAGUCUGAAGUUAAAGGCAGUGGCUCAACCAUUGUAGGCUUUGGAAACUGUUUAACUUGAGUGCAGAAGGGGAGAGUGGAAUUCCAUGUGUAGCGGUGAAAUGCGUAGAUAUAUGGAGGAACACUGGUGGCGAAAGCGGCUCUCUGGUCUGUAACUGACGCUGAGGCUCGAAAGCGUGGGGAGCGAACAGG
rnacentral:rRNA from 1 species